GAUGAACGCUGGCGGCGUGCCUAAUACAUGCAAGUCGAGCGAACGGACGAGAAGCUUGCUUCUCUGAUGUUAGCGGCGGACGGGUGAGUAACACGUGGAUAACCUACCUAUAAGACUGGGAUAACUUCGGGAAACCGGAGCUAAUACCGGAUAAUAUUUUGAACCGCAUGGUUCAAAAGUGAAAGACGGUCUUGCUGUCACUUAUAGAUGGAUCCGCGCUGCAUUAGCUAGUUGGUAAGGUAACGGCUUACCAAGGCAACGAUGCAUAGCCGACCUGAGAGGGUGAUCGGCCACACUGGAACUGAGACACGGUCCAGACUCCUACGGGAGGCAGCAGUAGGGAAUCUUCCGCAAUGGGCGAAAGCCUGGCGGAGCAACGCCGCGUGAGUGAUGAAGGUCUUCGGAUCGUAAAACUCUGUUAGUAGGGAAGAACAUAUGUGUAAGUAACUGUGCACAUCUUGACGGUACCUAAUCAGAAAGCCACGGCUAACUACGUG
rnacentral:rRNA from 1 species